rnacentral:piRNA from 1 species
UCAUGCGGUGCCCGGACACAAA